rnacentral:rRNA from 1 species
UACGAAGGGGCUAGCGUUGUUCGGAAUCACUGGGCGUAAAGCGCACGUAGGCGGAUUUUUAAGUCAGGGGUGAAAUCCCGAGGCUCAACCUCGGAACUGCCUUUGAUACUGGAGAUCUUGAGUCCGGAAGAGGUAAGUGGAACUGCGAGUGUAGAGGUGAAAUUCGUAGAUAAUUCGCAAGAACACCAGUGGCGAAGGCGGCUUACUGGUCCGGAACUGACGCUGAGGUGCGAAAGCGUGGGGAGCAAACAGG